UCAGAGAGAUUUGUUGCUGCUAACAACAGUUCGAGGACAGUAUUUUUCUCUGCGAGAAAAAUGGCUGCCUGAAUCGCAGUGGCAUAAUUGGAUGAAAUGAGCAAGGACAUCCAACGCCUGCAUCAUACUGACCCCAGAUGAAUCAUCAUGGCAUCAUGAAAAUGAUAUGCUGUGGAAAACAUCCUCCACGCAAAGACGCCGUUGGACAAUGCGAUCCAUUUGAAAUGAAACAAAAAGACAAGGAAACACAAGGAAAAAACAAAACACUUGUGGGGUGAAUCCUUGAGAUGCUCAUGCAAGGUUUGUGAUUUUUUUUUCAGAACAUUUAAUUUGGACUGCAAUUUGUAAGAUGUUUUGGGGCAUUCGUUUUUGGAUGUGUUUGUUUGCACAGAGUUAACAGUGAAGGGCACACGUCGAGCCACUUAGUGCAAUAUCAUUACUAAUCAUCAACAUCUGCAUGCAGGAUUAAAUGUUGGCAAUCAUCAGCGGACCUGAAUAGCAGUAUCCCUUCAGAGUGAAGCUAGUAGCAUUUAACUUUAGCUUCACAGAGCAGUGGCGGAGCUACGUGGUGACAUUUCAGGUAUCAACUUAUUGCCACCCCUAUGUGAGUAAUGGUCUCACCUUGGCCGCCCCAGUGGCUAAUGUCAGGUGGCGAAACACUUCAGGGACCGGAAAGUCUUGGCUUUCCUACUGAGACUGCUGCCCUCAUGACCCGGACCCGAUAAGCAGAAGAAAAAGGGGAGUCCAAACUUUUGAAAGCAUGCGAGGGCCACGUUGAUAUUUUGUAAAGCAACACAUGAGAAGUUACAUAAGGUGCUGUUUUUUUUUUCCAUUUCCAAACAUUUCAACUUUCUUCUGAAAUUAUCUUCAUAAAUUUUCUCUUCAUAAUUCCCAUUAUUUUACAACUUUUCCCCCAACCUAAUUUUGCAAAAAUUCCAUCUUUAUUUUGUUUCCCAUAUGAUUUAAAUAUAAUAUUUUUCAAAACAAAUAACAUAUUUGUUUUCAUAUUUAAACUCUAUGCUACUAAAAUGAAAAAUUUCCUCAUAGCAUUAUUUUAUUCUCGUAAAAUUGUGACUUUUUUAUCGUUAAAAUACCUAUGAAAGGGAGAGUAAUAACUAAGCGCAGUGGUCUUAUUAUUGCUUUCUGUGUUCUCCUGCCUCUUCUACUUCUCCUCCCAGUAAGCCACAGAGUAAAGGUCAGAAGUUGUUCUCCUUUUUUUUUUUUAAUUACUGUUACAUUUAAUUCUUGUUGAAUUUUUUUGUUACUAUAUUUCAUAUGUCCGUCAUGUAGUCUGUGUACAGUGUAAGUGACUUAGGAGUUAAUUUCGGUGUAUGAUCUGACUUACAUCACAGUCUAGGAAUGGAACUCGUUCAUAACCCGCACUCACACUGGCCCCCCUAGCGAGAAUUGCAAGUCCUCACCUUUGACCUCAUGAAGCAUCUCUCAGCAGCACACAAACUAAAUCCAAAUUGUUUUUUUUUACAUAAUUGAAAGUUUUUCAAAAAAGUAAUGCAUCAAUUCCUUCCCUGGUAACAAAUUACAUUUAGGAAGUAGUGAUUCUGUUACUAAUUCAAUUACUUUUUUUUUUGCAAAAGUGACUAUUAACUCUAACAAAUGACAUUUCUCAAGUCAAAUGUACUCAUCAUACUGGUGAGUGAUACCUUAACGUGGCAGCGGGCAGAGCAAGUUUAAGGCGUACAUGUGAAAACGGUCAUUAUGGUGCCUGUCACAAGACAGCAGCAGGCAGAAUGCUAAGUAGUUUGAAACAGUUAGUCGUAGAUUGUUAACGCUCUCUGCCGCAGAAGUUGUCCUGUCCUAUUUAGAUGAGAAUGAAUAAUAUUGAAUCAUGAACUGAUGAACAAAUCUCUUCACACAGAGAAUAGUAACAGUGUUGUAUUGUCUGGGCUGUUUGACUGCUCUUUUGCAUUUGAAUAAUUCUUCAGCGCUAAAAACAAACCAUAGAGGGAGUACGUUCUUCACUCCAGUUGUAGUUUAUCAAGAAAGAGAAAGGCUAACAAAUGUUACCCACGGGAUGCACCCUCCGUUUCUUCCAAAAAUAAUGGAUGAAGCCCAUGAUGGGAAAACUCCCCGAUAUAAUUUCUGGGUAUAUUGUUUUCUUUAUCUGACCCAGUGCAUCAAUAGACAACAUAACUCCCAAUGGUGGAGGAUUUUCUUCUACACAGUAAAUAAGUCAUUGCUAUUGUUGGUUAAAUGUACGGAGAAUUUGUAUGGGCUCUUCACAGCACCAUUUCACAUGACGAUCAUGCCAGAAAAACACUCGCAGCACAGCUGAGGGUCAUGAGGUUAAUCUGGGCCCUCAUCCAAAAUUUCACAAGGGAUUAUAAGCCUAUGAUCCAAGAACCAACGCUAUAGAUCUUGCAUUAAUAUGGCACACAAGGCGACCAAGAGGGCUAAUGUCAGAUCGAAACAUGCGGUGUUCUUUCGUUCCUACCACUAUUAAACAUAAUUAGCACAAUCAUACCAAUUAAAACACACAGGAAUUUAUUCAUGUCAAGAGUCUACAUUCCUGGAACGUGUUUCCGCUAUAUUUUACAAAUUGAAAUAGUGUGAAAAAUCCUUUAUAACAUUCAGGAAAAUCUCCAAGUCAAAGGUCAGUCUCCUCUUAAUAGUUUAUUUAUGGUCACUUACCUGUGGUUAUUUUAAGGACUCUGCUUUUGUUGUUGUGAUAACAACUGGUGGAUGUGAAGUUUUGACAGGAACAUCCGAGGAGGGAAUCAUAUUCAACAGUAAGACGUCUCUGUCGUCAACCAGCACAAGACCUCAGCACAAGGCGUGAUGAUCCAUGUUGAAAUGAAGUGGAAUGUGCGGUAAAAUGACAUAUCUUGCUUUUUGUGAACAUGUUUUGCCAGGAUCACAGUACCUUUUGGAUACAAAUAUUCUCCUUCUGUAGUCCAUGUGGGUUUGCUAAGGACAUCAGCCUUGGAGCACAGCCAACCCAGCAACGAGGCAAAGAAGUUGAGCUGAGAAUCCCCUCCAGAUGGUCACUCUAAACUUUGGGAAAUGUGACCAGAUAGCAAGACAGAAAGCAUAAGACAGAAAGCAUAGCAUGGAGGUGAGCUGUUACAAAACUCCAAAGUUUAACCCCAUAAGUCCAAAAACUUGGUACACACCUUUUGGGAAAUGACAAGCACCAACUUGUCAAGUACUUGUUCAAGUAUCUCGGGGUCUUGUUCGUGAGGGAAGGUUGGAGCGUGAGGUCGAAAGGCGGAUUGGCACAGCAUCUGCAGUAAUGCGGUCGCUGUACCGGACCGUCGUGGUGAUGACGGAAGGCAAAGAUCUCAAUUUACCGGUCGAUAU